rnacentral:rRNA from 1 species
GUGAGGAAUAUUGGUCAAUGGGCGCAAGCCUGAUCCAGCAAUGCCGCGUGCAGGAAGAAGGCCUUCGGGUUGUAAACUGCUUUUGUACGGAACGAAACGGUCCGGGUUAAUACCCUGGGCUAAUGACGGUACCGUAAGAAUAAGCACCGGCUAACUACGUGCCAGCAGCCGCGGUAAUACGUAGGGUGCAAGCGUUAAUCGGAAUUACUGGGCGUAAAGCGUGCGCAGGCGGUUUUGUAAGACAGGCGUGAAAUCCCCGGGCUCAACCUGGGAAUUGCGCUUGUGACUACAAGGCUGGAGUGCGGCAGAGGGGGAUGGAAUUCCGCGUGUAGCAGUGAAAUGCGUAGAUAUGCGGAGGAACACCGAUGGCGAAGGCAAUCCCCUGGGCCUGCACUGACGCUCAUGCACGAAAGCGUGGGGAGCAAACAGGAUUAGAUACCCGAGUAGUCC